rnacentral:rRNA from 1 species
CCUACGGGUGGCAGCAGUGGGGAAUAUUGCACAAUGGGGGAAACCCUGAUGCAGCGACGCCGCGUGAGUGAAGAAGUAUUUCGGUAUGUAAAGCUCUAUCAGCAGGGAAGAAAAUGACGGUACCUGACUAAGAAGCCCCGGCUAACUACGUGCCAGCAGCCGCGGUAAUACGUCGGGGGCAAGCGUUAUCCGGAUUUACUGGGGGUAAAGGGAGCGUAGACGGCAGCACAAGUCCGGAGGGAAAUGCCGGGGCUUAACCCCGGAACGGCCUUGGAAACUGUGCAGCUUGAGUGCAGGAAGGGUAGGUGGAAUGCCUGGUGUAGCGGUGAAAUGCGUAGAUAUUAGGAAGAACACCAAUGGCGAAGGCGGCUUACUGGACUGUAACUGACGUUGAGGCUCGAAAGCGUGGGGAGCAAACAGGAUUAGAUACCCGAGUAGUC